rnacentral:rRNA from 1 species
AGUGAACGCUGGCGGUAGGCCUAACACAUGCCAGUCGAACGGCAGCACAGUAAGAGCUCGCUCUUACGGGUGGCGAGUGGCGGACGGGUGAGGAAUACAUCGGAAUCUACUUUUUCGUGGGGGAUAACGUAGGGAAACUUACGCUAAUACCGCAUACGACCUACGGGUGAAAGCAGGGGAUCUUCGGACCUUGCGCGAUUGAAUGAGCCGAUGUCGGAUUAGCUAGUUGGCGGGGUAAAGGCCCACCAAGGCGACGAUCCGUAGCUGGUCUGAGAGGAUGAUCAGCCACACUGGAACUGAGACACGGUCCAGACUCCUACGGGAGGCAGCAGUGGGGAAUAUUGGACAAUGGGCGCAAGCCUGAUCCAGCCAUACCGCGUGGGUGAAGAAGGCCUUCGGGUUGUAAAGCCCUUUUGUUGGGAAAGAAAAGCAGCAGGUUAAUACCCCGCUGUUCUGACGGUACCCAAAGAAUAAGCACCGGCUAACUUCGUG